AAAGUUUGAUCAUGGCUCAGGAUGAACGCUAGCUACAGGCUUAACACAUGCAAGUCGAGGGGCAGCAUUUUAGUUUGCUUGCAAACUGAAGAUGGCGACCGGCGCACGGGUGAGUAACACGUAUCCAACCUGCCGAUAACUCCGGGAUAGCCUUUCGAAAGAAAGAUUAAUACCGGAUAGCAUACGAAUAUCGCAUGAUAUUUUUAUUAAAGAAUUUCGGUUAUCGAUGGGGAUGCGUUCCAUUAGUUUGUUGGG
rnacentral:rRNA from 1 species